UGAAAGUUGCUAGCUUAUGAACCAUGAUA
rnacentral:piRNA from 1 species